ACGUAGGCAGCAAGCGUUGUUCGGAAUUACUGGGCGUAAAGAGCGUGUAGGCGGUGCUCCAAAUCUGGUGUGAAAUCUCCCGGCUUAACUGGGAGGGUGCAUUAGAAACUGGAAUGCUAGAGGAUGGGAGAGGUAAGCGGAAUUCCUGGUGUAGCGGUGAAAUGCGUAGAUAUCAGGAGGAACACCGGUGGCGAAGGCGGAUCUCCGGGCCGUAACUGACGCUGAGGAGCGAAAGCAUGGGGAGCGAACAGGA
rnacentral:rRNA from 1 species